AGAUUGAACGCUGGCGGCAUGCUUUACACAUGCAAGUCGAACGGUAACAGGCCGCAAGGUGCUGACGAGUGGCGAACGGGUGAGUAAUGCAUCGGAACGUGCCCAGUCGUGGGGGAUAACGCAGCGAAAGCUGUGCUAAUACCGCAUACGAUCUAUGGAUGAAAGCGGGGGACCGAAAGGCCUCGCGCGAUUGGAGCGGCCAGAUGUCAGUAGUAGCUUAGGUUGGGUAGGGGUAAACGGCCCAACGAAGGCGACGACUCUGUAGCGUUGGUUUAGAGGACGGGACCGACGACGACCACACGGUGGAC
rnacentral:rRNA from 1 species